rnacentral:rRNA from 1 species
UACAGAGGUCCCAAGCGUUGUUCGGAUUUAUUGGGCGUAAAGGGUGCGUAGGCGGCGGAGUAAGUUGGGUGUGAAAUCCCGGGGCUCAACCUCGGAAUUGCAUUCAAUACUGCUUCGCUAGAGUACUGGAGAGGAGGCUGGAAUUUACGGUGUAGCAGUGAAAUGCGCAGAUAUCGGGAGGAACACCAAUGCGAAGGCAGCUCGCUGGGACGGUACUGACGCUGAGACGCGAAAAGCGUGGGGGAGCAAACAGGGA